rnacentral:rRNA from 1 species
AUUGAACGCUGGCGGCAUGCCUUACACAUGCAAGUCGAACGGUAACAGGUCUUCGGAUGCUGACGAGUGGCGAACGGGUGAGUAAUACAUCGGGACGUGCCUAGUAGUGGGGGAUAACUACUCGAAAGAGUGGCUAAUACCGCAUGAGAUCUACGGAUGAAAGCAGGGGAUCGCAAGACCUUGUGCUACUAGAGCGGCCGAUGGCAGAUUAGGUAGUUGGUGGGAUAAAAGCUUACCAAGCCGACGAUCUGUAGCUGGUCUGAGAGGACGAUCAGCCACACUGGGACUGAGACACGGCCCAGCCUCCUACGGGAGGCAGCAGUGGGGAAUUUUGGACAAUGGGCGCAAGCCUGAUCCAGCAAUGCCGCGUGCAGGAUGAAGGCCUUCGGGUUGUAAACUGCUUUUGUACGGAACGAAAAGCCCUGGGUUAAUACCCUGGGGUCAUGACGGUACCGUAGGGAUAAGCACCGGCUAACUACGUGCCAGCAGCCGCCGUAA